UUUUACCCACAAUGGGAGGAUGAAUCAUAAAUCGUACAAAAGUAAACCAAGCGCAUGAGAAUCAAUCAAGACAUAAAAAUAAACCAUUCAAGCAACCAUUCACAAUAACAAUUUAUGAAUUUGAAAAUGCAAUGAAGAGUAAAGUCAAGGACCUAAUCUCUAAAUAAUCCUAAUUGAAGAUUAAAAGAUGAAACAACUAAGUAUUCAAUUAAAUCCUAAUUAACUCUAACAUGUAUUGUUAUUUUAAAGAGUAAAAAUCAAUUAGAAUGAAUUAAAAUGUAUUAAAGUGAAAAUUAGAGAUAAAAUGAUCUAAAUUCUAUUAUCAUGAACUUUUUAAGCAUUUCAUAUCAAAAUAAAAUGUAGAAACAAGUGUUAAAAAAAUGUAAAAAAAGAAAAGAAAUUGAAGCCAUAAAAAAUAAUAAAAAACAACUGAAAAUAAGAAAAAAAAUAGUGGGGAGGUGCAAUGAUCAGAAGGGGGUUUGAACAGAAAGAAAGGUGUUGGGAUGAACUUGGAAACCCGAGUUUGUUGUGGGCCUUGCUUGGCUUCAGACCAGAGGUGUGCAAUAACAAUGUAUGGGUGCAGCAAGUGAGUUUCAUGGGCUUAGGUAUAACCAGGCCCAAUGUGCAAAGGAAAAGGGGAA
rnacentral:lncRNA from 1 species